rnacentral:snRNA from 1 species
AUACUCUGGUUUCUCUUCAGAUCGUAUAAAUCUUUCGCCUUUUACUAAAGAUUUCCGUGGAGAGGAACAAUUCUGAGUCUAAACCCAAUUUUUUGAGGCCUUGUUUUUUUUUUAGCAGGGCU